GUUAUCUCAACUAAGCCAUAAAGUGGGAGGGGUUACCUCACCUGAGCCACAGUGGCUCAUGUUAAGCUGGGGCGGCUUUAUGAGAUAUUAUUUUGUGGGAUGUUUUCGCUCAUGAACGCUUCAAAUUAGCAUAUCAUUGGAGAACCCAACCAUGUAGGUGUCUCAUUAAUAGGUAUUUGACCAAUAUUCUAUAAAUGUAGUUUGUUUAUUUUCUAGGUCAUCAGUAGUGAUAUCAAAUAAAUCACGUGGUCUUCUGAAAGAGAAAGUGACUCUCUCUUCCCCGCGUGUGUUCAGACGAGGCGACGCGGGCGGGAUAUUGGUUUACUGCGCCUGAACAUUUAUCAAUUACUGCUGAAGACUUAUGUGACAAGAUAUAUACACAAUUUAGGUCCUCUUUUACCAGGAAACAACGUAGAUUCCGCCCCUGUGUGUGUGUGUGCCCAUAUCCGACCUAAGUCAUUCUCACUGUUGGUGACAACCUGAUUGAAAUCAAUACGAUAAGAAUGCAUGGAUCGACAGAGCUCUUGUUGUAGUCAAACUUCGGUAAACUUUAGUUCCACGCUAGAGACGCUAGAGGUCAGCUAUGCUCGUCGUCGCGCAAUGACGUCGUUUAGGAAAAGUGUAGAGUAGAAUUCAUUUUAAACAGUGCUGUUCUUUCCUAUGUUCGAAAGGAAGCACCUUUUCAUCUCCCCUUGACCCGAUGACGUUUUCCACAAAGGUUAAGUAAAGGAGGCAUAAAUGUUAGGAUAUUUGACUAUUCGUAGAGAACUUCCUGCUCAGCUUGUGAUUCACACACAGGCCUUUAUAUUAUCUAUAAUUGACAGAUCAUGAUGAUAUCCGGGUAUACGGACAUCGCUGGAACAAGUUUGUACACCAGUUUCAAACUUUGCAGGGCAGACCAGUCCGCCCAUCUCAUAUAUUAUGAUUCGUUAGUUUAACUUUGUGACCCCAGCGUGUUUCUGAAAGGUUGAGAUGUUUUCAACCAGAAGCUGGGAGCGGCCGCACAGAAGGAAAUCAGACGCUGGAACAAGACGCUGGAACAAGACGCUCUUUGGACACAGACCAUUACAGGUCAAACUCAUUGGACGCUAUUUAGUGUGUUGGCAGUUUAGGAGAAUGCUGCUGGUGAUGGUGUUGUCUCUUCACCCUGCUCCACCUAGGGAACACAACAUAACACAAUGAUGAUCUCACUUUAUUACACAACACAACACAACCAUGAUCUCAAUUUAGUACACAACACAACACAACGAUGAUCUCACUUUAGUACACAACAACACAACCAUGAUCUCACUUUAGUAAACA